rnacentral:lncRNA from 1 species
UCGACCAAGGCUUCAUUCCGGGAGCCGCUGCUCAUUUGGUACCUUCUGGCAUUUCACUGGCCCUCCCGACACUUCCCUCAGUGAACCUGACCUCGACUUAACCUCUGCGGCUUAGGGCUCAAGAGUCUCUCAGUGUGUGGUGAUGCUGUCUACAUCCUGAGUUUUAUGGCCUGAAUGGUACUUCCAUCAUGGAGUCAGUUGUGCUAAGGUCUGGGACCUACUAAGGAACUAAAGUCACUGACGAGACAAGACUCUGGACAUGCCUGUGAAAGUUAUCUGUGUUAACUGAGGUGUUAACCAUCUCAUGGGCUUGGAUCUCAGGAUGAAUAACACGGAGGUGGGAUGAGCAUCAGCGUGCUCUGCUUCUUGCUCCUUCCUGCUGCCACCACUUCUCCCCACUGGGAUGAAUGAACCCUAUCUCCUGGGAGCCAAAAUAAAUC